rnacentral:rRNA from 1 species
GAGUUUGAUCCUGGCUCAGGACGUACGCUGGCGGCGUGCUUAACACAUGCAAGUCGAACGGAGCGAAAUGGAAGCUUGCUUCUAUGGAGCUUAGUGGCGAACGGGUGAGUAACGCGUAAUCAACCUGCCCUUCAGAGGGGGACAACAGUUGGAAACGACUGCUAAUACCGCAUACGAUUCAACUUCGGCAUCGAGGAUGAAUGAAAGGUGGCCUCUAUUUAUAAGCUAUCGCUGAAGGAGGGGAUUGCGUCUGAUUAGCUAGUUGGAGGGGUAACGGCCCACCAAGGCGAUGAUCAGUAGCCGGUCUGAGAGGAUGAACGGCCACAUUGGGACUGAGACACGGCCCAGACUCCUACGGGAGGCAGCAGUGGGGAAUCUUCCGCAAUGGACGAAAGUCUGACGGAGCAACGCCGCGUGAGUGAUGACGGCCUUCGGGUUGUAAAGCUCUGUUAAUCGGGACGAAAGAUCCUCUUGUGAAUAAUUAGAGGAAUUGACGGUACCGGAAUAGAAAGCCACGGCUAACUACGUGCCAGCAGCCGCGGUAAUACGUAGGUGGCAAGCGUUGUCCGGAAUUAUUGGGCGUAAAGCGCGCGCAGGAGGAUUAGUCAGUCUGUCUUAAAAGUUCGGGGCUUAACCCCGUGAUGGGAUGGAAACUGCUAAUCUAGAGUAUCGGAGAGGAAAGUGGAAUUCCUAGUGUAGCGGUGAAAUGCGUAGA